rnacentral:rRNA from 1 species
CACUCUGAGGAGACUGCCGGUGAUAAACCGGAGGAAGGUGGGGAUGACGUCAAGUCAGCAUGGCCUUUAUGUCUGGGGCUACACACGUGCUACAAUGGCCGGUACAAACCGUCGCGAUACCGCAAGGUGGAGCUAAUCGGAGAAAGCCGGUCUCAGUUCGGAUUGCAUCUCUCUAUUAUUGCCUGCAUGAAGUUGGAAUCGCUAGUAAUCGCGGAUCAGCACGCCGCGGUGAAUACGUUCCC